CUUCAGUUAGGCUGGCCCACAACAGGUUNAUGCAUGGCUGUCGUCAGCUCGUGUCGUGAGAUGUUGGGUUAACUCCCGAAUUAGGGCAACCUCGCCCUUAGUUGCCAGCAUUUAGUUGGGCANUCUAAGGGGACUGCUGGUGAUAAGCCGAGAGGAAGGUGGGGGAUGACGUCGAAGGUCCGUCAGUGGACCCUCUACAGGGCUGNGCGUACACACGUGCGUACAAAAUGGGUGGUGACCAGUGGG
rnacentral:rRNA from 1 species